rnacentral:miRNA from 1 species
UGGGAAAAACAGUAUCUUCUC